rnacentral:rRNA from 1 species
ACGGGAAUAUUCGAAGUACUUGUACAUUGAAUAUUCUAGUGGCGGACGGGUGAGUAACACGUGAGCGACCUGGCUUUCAGAGGGGGAUAACAGUUGGAAACAGCUGCUAAUACCGCAUAAGACCACAGAGGUGCAUGCCUCAGAGGUAAAAGGAGCAAUCCGCUGAAAGAUGGGCUCGCGUUCCAUUAGCUAGUUGGUGAGGUAACGGCUCACCAAGGCGACGAUGGAUAGCCGACCUGAGAGGGUGAUCGGCCACACUGGAACUGAGACACGGUCCAGACUCCUACGGGAGGCAGCAGUGGGGAAUAUUGGGCAAUGGAGGCAACUCUGACCCAGCAACGCCGCGUGAGGGAAGAAGGUUUUCGGAUUGUAAACCUCUGUCCUUGGGGACGAAGGAAGUGACGGUACCCGAGGAGGAAGCCCCGGCUAACUACGUGCCAGCAGCCGCGGUAAUACGUAGGGGGCGAGCGUUGUCCGGAAUUACUGGGCGUAAAGGGUGCGUAGGCGGUAUGAUAAGUUAGAUGUGAAAUCCCCGGGCUUAACUUGGGAGUUGCAUUUAAAACUGUCAUACUAGAGUGCAGGAGAGGAAAGCGGAAUUCCUAGUGUAGCGGUGAAAUGCGUAGAUAUUAGGAGGAACACCAGUGGCGAAGGCGGCUUUCUGGACUGUAACUGACGCUGAGGCACGAAAGCGUGGGGAGCAAACAGGAUUAGAUACCCUGGUAGUCCACGCCGUAAACGAUGGAUACUAGGUGUAGGUACCUAACAAGGUUUCUGUGCCGGAGCAAACGCAAUAAGUAUCCCGCCUGGGGAGUACGACCGCAAGGUUGAAACUCAAAGGAAUUGACGGGGGCCCGCA